AUGAACGCUGGCGGCGUGCCUAAUACCUGCAAGUCGAGCGAACAGACGAGGAGCUUGCUCCUCUGACGUUAGCGGCGGACGGGUGAGUAACACGUGGAUAACCUACCUAUAAGACUGGGAUAACUUCGGGAAACCGGAGCUAAUACCGGAUAAUAUAUUGAACCGCAUGGUUCAAUAGUGAAAGACGGUUUUGCUGUCACUUAUAGAUGGAUCCGCGCCGCAUUAGCUAGUUGGUAAGGUAACGGCUUACCAAGGCGACGAUGCGUAGCCGACCUGAGAGGGUGAUCGGCCACACUGGAACUGAGACACGGUCCAGACUCCUACGGGAGGCAGCAGUAGGGAAUCUUCCGCAAUGGGCGAAAGCUUGACGGAGCAACGCCGCGUGAGUGAUGAAGGUCUUCGGAUCGUAAAACUCUGUUAUUAGGGAAGAACAAAUGUGUAAGUAACUAUGCACGUCUUGACGGUACCUAAUCAGAAAGCCACGGCUAACUACGUG
rnacentral:rRNA from 1 species